rnacentral:lncRNA from 1 species
UAAGGGAGUAAGAACUCGGAGCCUCCCAGCUGGUCACUGAGCCCCAGAACAACACGGAGGGCAGAGGUGGAGGUACUGGUUUAAGUCCUGGAAUCCACUGUCUGAAGGCUGCAGUGUGUGAGGGCAGCACAGGGAGAGAGAAUUCACCCUGCCUCUGCCUUUUUGUUCUGUUCCUGCCCUCAGUGGCCCAGCUGAUGCCUGCACACGUUGGUCAGGGCAGAUUAUCUUCAGUGGGUUGUCCACUAAUGCUAAUGUUGAUUUCUUCUGGAAACGUCUGUACAGACACACCCAGAAAUGCCGGGAUCCCAGCUUUCCAUCCCUCUAAGAGGUCAAUUUCAUCCUUCCCUACAAGAAUCAGAGCAUCACAAAGUUCACCGAGGCUGUUGCAUGCAGGACUGGACAAGCAUGAGCUUCAUCACAGAACCAAAGGAGCUGCUGGCCUGGCCUGCACAACCCUGACAGUGCACCAGGCCUAA